rnacentral:lncRNA from 1 species
GUAGUAGUAGAGUUUUCUUUUGUGUUGCGUUUAAUUGUUGAUGCUGUUGUUACUGUUAAUGCUGAUGAUCUUACUGAGGCUGUGUGUAGUAUUUCUAGAUUUUCGAUUUUGGGCAAGUAUGAUUUUCGUUUACUGAAUAACUAAAUUGCUCACCCUCCUUUCAAAACCACUAAAAAACCCUUAAUUCGGUCGGCUGGUUGGUAAAGAUAUUGCCAUUUAAAUUUGUUUUCCAGAAAGAAAAAUUCUGAAUUUUCUUGAAUUUCUUUAGUCGAAAGUGAAAGACGCAAAUAUUCUCUUCCAUCGACGCAAUAACUCACGGUACCUAUUAGUAUCAGGGACUUAAGAAUGACUAUUGUCAACAGUCUCAGCUGCAAUGCCCCCAUUCACAAUAAAGUCGAUAUGUCUGUCAAGAUGAGCUCCUGUAUCCUCAGAUGUUUCCGAGUAAGAUGUGAAUAAGUUGUGGUCGUUCUCCUCUUUUCCUCUAAAAAUCGACGCCUAGAAUACUGCUGGCCCUUGUAAUAUCCCCACAUAUACUUAUUUCUAUGCAUAUAUAGAAUAUGUGCACAUGAAUACAUACAUACAUAUAUAAAUGUAUAUAAAUGUACAUAUAUAUAUAUAAAUGUAUUAAUCAGCCGAAAUUGCGAGGAUGAUCCGGUUCUUGACUGAAGAUUGAAGGCUUCGAAUGUCCGGUCCGUGUUUUUUGUAUAAUCUUCUAAAUGUUUUACGUUCUUGUCCCAGUUUGUAUUUUUCUACAUAUAAUAUAUAUAUAUAUGUAUGUGUGUGAGUGUGUGUGUGUGAGAGACUAUUACAUUUCUUUUAUUUCUUAUAUACCUAUCCCACGUGUAUACAGAACUUCCCAUUCUUCACUAUGUAUGUAUAUAUAUAUGUGUUUGUGUGUGUGUGUGUGUGUGCAUUUGUAUACACAUUGCAGGAUAUAAAAGGGGGUUUGCAUCUCUCUAUUUGUGAUAAGUAUGAAACGAAAAGUCCGGAACCUCAACCGAAAAAUCGGUUAACUGGUUUUAUUUUUCAACAGAUGAAUCCUCUUGAGGCACGUCAACCUCCUCACGCUGCAGACUGACUCUCAUAUUUCUUACUUCUCUCAGAUAAACAGGAACUUAUAAAUUCACAUAUGCAGGGGAGAGACUUAACCGAUCGCAGUUUUUGUUCACCAAAUGCAAAAUAACAUAAAAGCAUAUUUAAAAAAAAACAUAAGUAAUUUGAGACCGUUAUUAUACAUAAUUUCAUUAAAUAAACAUGCCUAAAUAUGUUUUAUAAUUUAUAUCUAUAAAAUUAUAUGUUUCAAAUUCCUACGUAUUCAUGUAAGCUUGCAUAUGGAUUGAAUAUAAUUUAACAAUUUUUGCAACGUUGCAUAAAUCUUUUCCUACAUUUCACAUAAAGACCUCAAAUAUCUUCAAGCGUGUUUCAAUGUAUUAUAGCAAUUCUGGUAGUGUUAACCAAGUGUUCAGUUCUAAAUCAUUAGACGAGAAAUAAUUAUGUUCCUUAUAAAAUUUAAUUAAGAUUUAUAUAAAUUGAACGUAAUUGCAUAUCUGAUGUUGAUUACUUAUUCAAUACUAGAUUUAUUUCAAUGUAAUUUCAUGUUUAAACUUAGUUUUACACAAAAACUAUUUCUUCACCUAAAAAUUUACUGCAAUCGAUAUAAAUUUUAAUCAAAUUUCGUUCCUACAGCAGCUACAUUUCAAUUGCUUACAUUAACACUUACACACACACACACACACACACACACACACACACACACACACACACACACACACACACACACACACACACACUCACACACACACACACACACACACAAAGGCACAUAUAUAUAAGAUACAUAAGCUAUAUAUGUAUAUAUAUAUAUAUAUAUAUAUACAUACAUAUGUAUAUUUAUAUGAUAUGUACAUCUAUACAGAUAUACAAAUACGUAUGGAUAUUUCAAAAUAUAUACGUUCACAUACAUUAUUUCAAGUGACAUACAUUCAUACCUAUAUAUGCUAAGAUGUUUACUAUCUAGAUGUAUACAUUCACUCACUCCCCCACUCACUCCUUCCACUCUCAAAUAUUAACAUAUAUAUAUAUACAUACAUACAAAUACAUAUACAUACAGACCUACAUGCAUACAAAUAUACAUACAUAUAAACAUGCAUACAUAAGCAAACAUAAAUAUAUUCAUACAAACAUGUAUACAUACAAACGUUCAAGCAUGCAUAUAUGCAAAUAUACAUACAUACUUAUAUACGUGCCAACAUACAUACAUACGAACAUGCAUACAAACAUACACACAAACAUACAUACAUACAUACAAGCAUACAAACAUACGUACAUGCAAUCAUGCAUACACACAAACUUACAUACAUACAUACAUGUACAUGCAUACAAACAUGCAUACAUACACAUACAUUACAUACAUAGAUAUUUCAUUAACGAAAACAUUUAGACUUUCAUAAACGAUUUUUACUAUAUUUAAACACAUAGAAAAGGAAGCGGAAAUUACUGAUAAAAAAAAACAAACCUUUCCUUAUAUAAAAAAACAGAAACAUCCUCAUAAACAUUUUAAAUUUCUGGUUGCUUCUAAACAACUUCACAACUGAAAUUGAUAUGACCAAAGUUUAUAAUUAACCGAAAUUUAAUAGAAUUAGCACUUACGCUAGUUACAUCAGUUUCUAUGUGUGCAGGUUAUUACUGCUGCGCCGUAUAUUUUAGUGGUGGUGGCCACUUUUGAAGCGUCUCCCUUGAUCCUCAGUAAUAGGACGGUAAUUUCUGUUUCCUGGUAUGUUAUACAUAUUGAGUUUCUCGGUGCAAACUUUGGGCUAGUGAAGCUACAGAAAUGUAUAUAAUUCAUUGCUUUACUGCCCACAAGGGGCUAUACACAAGGGGGACAAACAAGGACAAACAAACGGAUUAAGUCGAUUAUAUCAACGACAGUGCGAACUGGUACUUAUUUAAUCGACCCCGAAAGGAUGAAAGGCAAAGUCGACUUAUGGUUUCGCAAUAUGGUUUCGGAAUACGUACAAUUCUUUCGUUGAAUGUUUCAGAUGACUGUGUAACCACGAGCAGACAUCGACUCUCAUAACGCUGACACACUGCUAGCAGAGUGACUCAUGAAGAAAAUAUCCUUUACUUCUCUAGGCACAAGGUCCGAAAUUUUGGGGGCGGAGUCCAGGCGAUUAGAUCGACUCCAAUACGCAACUGGUACUUAAUUUAUCGUCCCGAAAAGAUGAAAGAAAAAUACGACUUCGGUGGAAUUUGAACUCAGAGCAUAAAGACAGAAGAAAUACCGCUACGUAUUUCGCCCGGCGUGCUAACGUUUCUGCUAGCUCGCAGCUUAACAUCGAGAAAUAUCUUAUGGGGGAAGACGUAGCGCCACUUGGCAAAUAUUUAUUUUCAGCCGUAUAGACUGUGGCAAGUUAAACCCAAGCGUUUUGCGCAAAGACAGAAAAUUCAAUUCCUGGAGCAGGAAUUGAUCCCACGACAUUAAGACCUCUAGCACAUCCUGAAAACCAGUGGCACCCCACGCUUCUUCGCUUCCGUAGCAUGAACAUUUGAUCCAAAUAUUUAGGAGUCACUAUAAUACACUCUGGAAGACUAUAAAUUUCAAACGAUAAAAUAAACUAAAUUAUGAUAUGCCAGAAAAGAUACAUUUUGUCCAAAUCGCAAAUUAAGUGAUAAGUGAGCAUGGAGGCUAGAUAUUGCUUUUUGCUUUGUAUACCAAUUGAAAAAGAAAAUGAUGAUCAUAUUGAUAUUUACACAUAUAAAAUCGAUGUCAUUUUGUAUUGGAAGCUAGACUAUCUUGGCAUGAAAACAUAACCAACACUUUCACUUACAACCUGUACUAUAUUUACGUUAUGUCGAAUAUAUUACUGAAAUAAUUGUUUGAAAAUUGGAUCUCGAAGCAAAUUGAGGUAUUAGAAACAGCUCAAAAAUACUGGUUUAAAAAAAGACCAUUUGGAUAGCAGGAUUCGAAGGAUGUCUGUUGGACCCUUUUGUAAGCAUGGCAGAUGUUCUACUCCUGGAGCAAAGUAUUCAUUCGAAUUUCUGUAUCAGUUUAUAAAAACUGUUCUUUCCAGAGACAACUGCUUGUUGUUCAGAGCAUAAGAAUUUGUUCCACUACCUAAUGAUUUCAGGUUGUCUGCAAUAUUUUAUAAAUUCUUAUAGCGACAAAAAUAAGUCGUACAAGAAAAUGACUUCUUCAGCUCACUAAGGGUCAUUCACUUAUUAAAAUUUAUUAAAAUUUAUUGCCUCAUUGAAAUAAAUAUGUUAAUGCUCAUGAUGUUAAUAUUCAUUUUCCAGACGGCUGGAUACUUUCCCACUAUAAUUAUUUGUUUAUUCAAAUUGUCACGCUAUUCAAUGUUUUAUUCCUGCAAUUCCUAAAUUCCAGUUAACUCAGAUUUGGCAAUAUUAGCCUACUUAGACAAAAACAUGUCUGGAGCUGGUAUCCCCAUACACUCUAAGACAAAAUCACAUUCUACUGCAUUUAUAUAAUGCUAUGAUUUUUAUUUCAAAAUAAUUUUAAUUCUGUGUUUGUCACCACUGUCUUUCAAGACAACAGUCUUAAUAAUUAGAAUAAUGAAUUUUCUUUUUCGCCACUACGGGUGAAAUUCCCGAUAAUUAAAAGUUCUUGGUUAACCACAUUUAAGUAUCUUAGCGGAGAAAUUUUUACUACACAGAGAAAUAAUUUGAUUGCAUUCGACAAAAAUCCAAAUAACAAAUAGUUUUAUGUUCAAGUAAUAAAAAUAUUUUACAAUCGUAAUAAUUUUGAAAGGGGAAAAAAGAGAAGGAAAAUGGAUGAUGGAAUUUUUUAUAUUAUUCUAACACUCAUAAAAUUUUAAAGAUGGAAAACAAAAUAAAGUUUUCCUUUAGAAAUUGUUAGUGUAUCUGAUGUCGCUAAAUUUUAACUCUCUUCAAUUCAAACUAUUUAGUUUCCAUGUUAUUCGCACGUAUAGACUUACAAAUAUGUAUAUUUCUCUAUAUUUACAAAUAUAUAUAUGUACAUAUAU